GGCCUGAUGGUCUAGUAGCAUGAUUCCUUCUUCGGGCAAAAUUUGGAGGAGGUCCCGGGUUCAAUUCCCGGCCAGGCCC
rnacentral:tRNA from 1 species